UUGAUCUCCAGGAAGUUGCCCCUGUUCAUCUCACCCUUGAAGGGUUCAUUGAGGAUGGCAUAACGUGGAUCAUUCUGAAUGUCCUGCCAGCGGGCAUAGCCAUGACUGAGAUAGAGGAGCUCAGGCAAACAAAGGAAUCCCCAGAAUCUAGCUCUGUCCCAGGCGGGCAGGGGAGGAGAACGGGACAGGACAACACCACAACAACGGGCACAGCAGAAGAAGAAGAAGGAGAUAUCUGUAACAGUAUGAAACAAACAAGCACCUACUAACUCACCUCCAUUGGGACCUCUGCUUCAGCAGAAGCUAGGUUGGGUUCCUUCUCAGACUCCAUGGGCUCCCCUUGCUCCCUGGUACUGGCUCCUUCUUCCACCUUCACACCCUCUUCUGUGCCUCCCACACCCAAGACCAGCAUAUUUG